ensembl:lncRNA
GAGAUCUUUUGGAUGUUCCUGUGGGAUAUUCUGGAUGUUUACGUGGAAUUUGGUGGAUUCCCAUGGGAAUGUUUCUGUGGGAUCUGGUAGAUGUUCCUGUGGGAUCUGGUAGGUGUUCCUGGGAGAUCUUCUGGAGCUUUCCAUGGAAUUUGGUGGAUGCUUCCCAUGGGAUCUUCUGGAUGUUCUUGUUGGAUCUUCUGGAGGUUCCUGUGGGACCUUCUGGAGGUUCCUGUGGGAUCUGCUGGAGGUUCCUGUGGGAUCUCAGGAUGUUCCCCUGGGAUCUGGUGGCCCUGGCUCCCUCCUGGACACUUCUCCUGUUGCUUUUCUCCUCUGAGCAGGCUCAGCUGUCCCAGCCCUCCCUCAGGGCUGGAGCAGCGCCCUGGGAUUCCCACCGACCUUGUGGGAUCUCCUGGGAGCCUUUGGGGCUCUCCUGAGAGAAUUUGGUGGUUUCUGAGAUGCUUUUGGGGUUCCCUGAGAUCCUUUUGGGAUCUCCUGAGAACUUUUUGGGAUUUCCUGAGAUCCUUGUGGGGUUUCCUGGGGGCCUUUUGGGGUUUCCUGGGAGCUUUUUGGGGCUUCCUGAGAACUUUUUGAGGUCUCCUGAGAUCCUUUUGGGGUUCCUUGAGAUCCUUGUGGGGUUUCCUGAGAACUUUUUGGGAUUUCCUGAGAAACUUUUGGGAUUUCCUGGGGGCCUUUUGGGGUUUCCUGAGAUCUUUUUGGGGUCUCCUGAGAGAAUUUGGGAUUUCCUGAGAACUUUUUGUGGUCUCCUGAGAACUUUUUGGGGUUUCCUGAGAAACUUUUGGAAUCUCCUGAGAACAUUUUGGGGUCUCCUGAGAACUUUUUGGGUCUCCUGAGAACUUUUUGGGGUCUCCUGAGAUCUUUUUGGGGUUUCCUGAGAGAAUUUGGGAUUUCCUGAGAGCUUUUUGGGGUUUCCUGAGAACUUUUUGGGGUCUCCUGAGAACUUUUUGGGUUUCCUGAGAACUUUUUGGGAUUUCCUGAGGUACUUUUGGUUUUCCACCUAAAUAUUUCCCUUAAAUUCCACAUUUUUAUGAAUUUCAGAGCCCCACCUUGAGAAAUUCACAAUUUUUCACCACAAUUCAAUUUCAUUUAACCAUUUUUUUUGGUUUUUCCACUUAAAUAUUCUCCUUAAAUUCCACAUUUUUAUGAAUUUCAGAACCCCCUUGAAUGAAUUCACAUUUCAGCCACAAUUCACAUCUAAUUGUACCAUUUUUUUUUUGUUUUCCACUUAAAUAUUCCCCUUGAAUUCCACAUUUUUAUGAAUUUCAGAGCCCCCCUUGAAUUCACCAUUUUCAGCCAAAAUUCAAUCUAAUUUAACCAUUCUUUUCAUUUUUCCACUUAGAUAUUUCCCUUAAAUACAGAAUUUUUGUGAAUUUCAGAGCCCCCCCCUUGAGAAAUUCACUUUUCAGCCACAAUUCACUUCUAAUUUUACCUUUUUUAAUGUUUUUCCACUUAAAUAUUCCCCUUAAAUUCAGCAUUUUUCAGGAAAAAGGAACCCAUUGUUAAAUUGUCCAUUAUUUGUGGAUAUGGUUGGGAAAAAAAAUAAAUUGUAAAAUAUUGAAGAGAAGCUUUGUAUU